rnacentral:rRNA from 1 species
AUUGCGGGGUAGCAAUAUUCCGUAGUCGGAGCGGCGCAAGGGUGCGUAACACGUGGGUAAUCUGCCAUGAAGUCUGGAAUAACUUGCUGAAAGGCGAGCUAAUACCGGAUGUGAAAAUUGGGAGGCAUCUUCUGAUUUUCAAAGUUGGGGACCGUAAGGCCUGACGCUUCAUGAUGAGCCCGCGGCCUAUCAGCUAGUUGGUGAGGUAACGGCUCACCAAGGCUAAGACGGGUAGCUGGUCUGAGAGGACGACCAGCCACACUGGAACUGAGACACGGUCCAGACACCUACGGGUGGCAGCAGUCGAGAAUUUUUCACAAUGGGCGAAAGCCUGAUGGAGCGACGCCGCGUGGGGGAUGAAUGGCUUCGGCCCGUAAACCCCUGUCAUUCGCGAACAAAUUGGUUCACUUAAUACCUGAACCAUUGAUAGUAGCGGAAGAGGAAGGGACGGCUAACUCUGUGCCAGCAGCCGCGGUAAUACAGAGGUCCCAAGCGUUGUUCGGAUUCACUGGGCGUAAAGGGUGCGUAGGCGGUCGGGUAAGUCUGAUGUGAAAUCUCCGAGCCUAACUCGGAAACUGCAUUGGAUACUAUUCGGCUUGAGGUCUGGAGGGGGGACUGGAAUUCUCGGUGUAGCAGUGAUGUGCGUAGAUAUCGAGAGGAACACCAGUGGCGAAGGCGAGUCCCUGGACAGGUCCUGACGCUGAGGCACGAAAGCUAGGGGAGCAAACAGGAUUAGAUACCCUGGUAGUCCUAGCCGUAAACGGUGCUUAUUUGCUGUAAAAGGAAUCGACCCCUUUUGUGGCGUAGCAAACGCG